rnacentral:rRNA from 1 species
UACGUAGGGUCCGAGCGUUGUCCGGAAUUAUUGGGCGUAAAGAGCUCGUAGGCGGUUUGUCGCGUCUGCUGUGAAACCUAAGGCUCAACCUUGGGCUUGCAGUGGGUACGGGCAGACUAGAGUGCGGUAGGGGUGACUGGAAUUCCUGGUGUAGCGGUGGAAUGCGCAGAUAUCGAGGAGGAACACCGAUGGCGAAGGCAGGUCAC